rnacentral:rRNA from 1 species
GACAGAGGGGGCAAGCGUUGCUCGGAAUUACUGGGCGUAAAGGGCGCGUAGGCGGAAUGGCAAGUCGGUCGUGAAAUCCUUCGGCUCAACCGAAGAACGUCGAUCGAAACUGCCGUUCUUGAGGAUUGCAGAGGAGACUGGAAUUCCCGGUGUAGCGGUGAAAUGUGUAGAGAUCGGGAGGAACACCGGUGGCGAAGGCGGCCUUCUGGACUGACACUGACGCUGAGGCGCGAAAGCCAGGGGAGCAAACGGG